CAGAUAUUGAAGCAUGAUUUAUAAAUCCAGGAAACAUGCUACAUCAUUCCAGCUGAUGCUUGGCAUUGCACAUGUAGAUAUCAGGCUUCUGUACAGCUGUUUGGCCAUGGAAACCAUCUCAUAAAGCUCCUGAUACACAGUUUUUGUUCCGAUAUUACUUCCAGAGGCGGUUUGGAACUUUGUAGUUAGUGAUUUAUCAGCUUUCAUAUUCU